rnacentral:rRNA from 1 species
GACGAACGCUGGCGGCGUGCUUAACACAUGCAAGUCGAACGGACGGGCCCUACUUUUGCGGGGUGCUCGUGAGGCGAACGGGUGAGUGACACGUGUGUAUCAUGUCCUUGACUUUGGGAUAACUUCAGGAGACUGGGGCUCAUAUCGGGUAGAAGCUUCUGCUGCACGGUGGGGGUUGGAAAGUUUCGGCGGUUGGGGCUGGACUCGCGGCUUAUCCGCUUGUUGGUGAGGUAGUGGCUUACCAAGGCUUUGACGGGUAGCCGGCCUGAGAGCGCGACCGGCCACAUGGGGACUGAGAUACGGCCCAGACGCCUACGGGAGGCAGCAGUGGGGAAUAUUGCACAACGGGCGGAAGCCAGAGGCAGCAACGCCGCGUGCGUGAUGACGGCCUUCGAGGUGUAAACCGCUGUCGCCUGAGACGAAGCGUUAGUGACGGUAAUGGGUAAAGAAGCACCGGCUAACUACGUG